CUCCGCUCUUCCCGCACAGAAGAGCGGCCGAGGAGCCGGUGCUCUCUGCCCUGACCGCGCCGGGCACUCCUCAAUCGGUGGCCGGUACCGCACAUUCUGGCCGCCGAUGCACCUGAAGGGCCGCGGUGUUGGGGUCGGGUUGAGGGUCCCGCCCCGGCGC
rnacentral:ncRNA from 1 species